rnacentral:rRNA from 1 species
GACGAACGCUGGCGGCGCGCCUAACACAUGCAAGUCGAACGAGCGAGCGAGAGCUUGCUUUCUUGAGCGAGUGGCGAACGGGUGAGUAACGCGUGAGGAACCUGCCUCAAAGAGGGGGACAACAGUUGGAAACGACUGCUAAUACCGCAUAAGCCCACGACCCGGCAUCGGGUUGAGGGAAAAGGAGCAAUCCGCUUUGAGAUGGCCUCGCGUCCGAUUAGCUAGUUGGUGAGGUAACGGCCCACCAAGGCGACGAUCGGUAGCCGGACUGAGAGGUUGAACGGACACAUUGGGACUGAGACACGGCCCAGACUCCUACGGGAGGCAGCAGUGGGGAAUAUUGCACAAUGGGGGAAACCCUGAUGCAGCGACGCCGCGUGGAGGAAGAAGGUCUUCGGAUUGUAAACUCCUGUUGUUGAGGAAGAUAAUGACGGUACUCAACAAGGAAGUGACGGCUAACUACGUG